rnacentral:rRNA from 1 species
AUGCCGCGCCGCGUGCAAAAAGCUUUGCCAAUCCGCUCCCCGCACUUGUGCCCAAUCCCAUUCUCUCCCGUCCUGCUCCACACCAGCCGCCACACAACCCUAGCCCCUUCCUCAUCGAUCCCCACAGCCCCUCCCUCCUCCUCGUUCCUCGCCAGGGCCCAUCCCCACAACCCCUCCCUCCUCCUAGCUCCUCGCCAUGGCCUCCGCCCUAGGAGCCUCGCCCGGGCCUCCUACUCCCUCUCCACCACCGUAGGUGCACACAGACGGCGGAUCCGUGCCGGAGAAGAGCAGCUCUGGUGGGGUGCAGCUGCAACGGAGAUGAAGGAGGUCCGCCGCCCGUCUUUGCCUCCUCAACAUGUCCUUGUUGUUGAGCCUAGCAGCGCAGCAGUCGGGGACAAGGGAAAGGAGCAGGCCGACCCGACCGCAUCUCUUUGCACGAGGACUGGAGGAGCAGGUCGCGAGGGAAGCCGGCACGGCCAGCGGGGGCGCUGCACAGGGAUGCCCGCCUCCGGUUUUCUAUCCUGUCUCCCAAUCCCCCUCCCACCUCCUCGCUCUGAGGAAUUGGGCAAUGGCACGGGGGUGGAACUGGCCGAGGAAGAGGGCGACCGUGAGGGGUUGGAGGCCAAGGAAGAGGGCGACAACGCAAGGGUGAACGAGGGUUGUGGACUUUCUCUUCUCCUCUUGUUGGCUUGCUCUCUGAUCAAGCCAUGGAAGGUACGUCUCCAUCUCUUGGCUCCACAAGGGAUAUGUGGAGAGAGCUUUACUAUUGGCAGUGGCUGCAUCAUUUCGACAAGUGGCAUGAUUGAUCUUUGCUAUGUGGAUCGAUGGCAUGAUCUAAAUUAG